AUAUGUCAGAGGUGUUCAAACCAGAGCAAGUCCAUCUUGAAUAGGGGCUGGGUAAAAUAAGGCUGAGACCUACUGGGCUGCAUUCCCAGGAGGUUGAGGCAUUCUUACUCACAGGGUGAGACAGGCGGUCAGCACAAGAUACAGAUCAUAAAGACCUUGCUAAUAAAACAGGUUGCAGUAAAGAAGCUGGCCAAAACCCAUCAAAACCAAGAUGGCCACCAAAGUGAUCUCUGGUCAUCCUCACUGCUCAUUAUACACUAAUUAUAAUGCAAUUAGCAUGCUAAGAGACACUCCCACCAGCACUAUGACUAUUUACAAAUGCAUGGCAAUGUCAGGAAGUUACCCUAUAUGGUCUAGAAAGGACAGGAACCCUCAGUUCCAGGAACUGUCCACCCCUUUCCCAGAAAACCCAUGUAUAAUUCACCCCUUAUUUAGCAUACAAUCAAGAAAUAUCUACAAGUAUCCUUAGUCCAGCAGCCCGAGCUGCUGCUCUGCCUAUGCAGUAGCCAUUCUUUAUUCCCUUACUAUCUCCAAUAAACUUGUUUUCACUAAAAAAAAAAAAAAAAAAAGACUCCAGGCCCAGAUAGUGUCAGUGGUGAAUUCCACCAAACAUUUAAGGAAAAAUAAUACUAAUUCUACACAAAUGCUUCCAAAAAAUUGAAGAGGACAGAGUGCCUUCUGCUUUAUUCUAUGAGUCCAGGAUCGCAUCAAUACCAAAACCAGACAAAGAUAGACAAGAAAACUAAAAACCAAUAUCUCUCAUGAAUAUACACAUAAAAAUUCUUAACAAAAAAAGCUUAGCAAAUCAAAUCCAAUAAUAAAGGUAAAAGAUAAUACAUGGCCAAGUGGAGUUUAUUCCAGAAAUGCAGGCUUGAUUUAACAUUAGAAAGAUCAAUCAAUAAAAUGGACAAUAGUUAGAACUAAAAAGGACCCAGAAUGGCAAAAACAACUUUCAACAAGAAAAAAAUUAGAAGACUUACAGUACAUGACUUUAAGACUUAUAACACUAUAAUGAUCAAGACAAUGUGCUAUUGGCAACAAGACAGACAAAUGGACCAAUGGAACAGUUCAUCCAUACUCAACAUGGAUGAAUCUUUUUUUUUUUUUUUUUUUUUUUUUUUUUUUUUGAAAAAGAAAGAGUUUUGCUCUUGUUGCCCAGGCUGGAGUGCAAUGGCACGAUCUUGGCUCACCGCAACCUCCGCCUCCCGGGUUCAAGCAAUUCUCCUGCCUCAGCCUCCCGAGUAGCUGGGACUACAGGCAUGUGCCACCAUGCCUGGCUAAUUUUGUAUUUUUAGUAGAGACGGGGUUUCUCCAUGUUGGUCAGGCUGGUCUUGAACUCCUGACCUCAGAUGAUCUGCCCACCUUGGCCUCCCAA
rnacentral:lncRNA from 1 species